UACCUGCAUGAUAUCCAGUAUCAACACCUGUUCAUUUUAUCUUUAUUUAAUCAGAGAACAUUAAUUUAGGACCUUUGCUCAGCACUCUGUCCCCACACCACUCCUGAAUAAAUUCUUUCUUUUGUAAAUAUAAUGUUACAUGUUGGGCAUAUGUUCAGCUAACACCAAACCACAACAGUAAAAAUGUAGCAAUAAAUCAAAGUUUCUUUGGUUUGAAAGAGAGAGAGAGAGAGAGAGAGAGAGAGAGGGAGAGAGGGAGAGAGGCAGAGAGGGAGAGAGGGAGAGAGAGAGACUUACUUUUAUGACGCAUUUUUUCCAGUGCAGCUUUACUAGUUCAUAAGGGUGUGUGUCCAUAUCAUAAACUCUGCCCACUUUAACGGCAUGCUAAAGAUCACGCACACGCGUACACACACACACACACACACACACACAUACAUACACACACACACACACACACACACACACGAUGGGAUGGAUCAGGAAGUGAUCUGGUGCUUAUAAAGCAUCAGCAAGUGAAGAUCUGCAUUCUGCGGAUCUGACCUCGGACACACGACUCUGUCAGAAUGUACGGCCACAACCAAGGAAACCAAUAUCCAGGUUAUCCAAACCAGCCGCCAGCUCCAGGAUACCCUGCGUAUCCUCCAGGAGCUGCUCCUCCAGCAACCUGCCCCCCUCCAAUGCAUGGGUGCCCACAGGGUCCUGGCUGUGGCCAGGGCCAUGGGCACGGGCAUGGUCACGAGCACGGACAUGGACACGGGCAUGGUCAUGACCACGGACAUGGACAUGGGCAUGGACACGGGCAUGGAUAUGGACAUGGGCAUGGACACAGGCAUGGAUAUGGACAUGGGCAUGGACACAGGCAUGGACAUGGGCAUUAGCAGGGUCCUUGCUGUGGCCAGGGCCAUGGACACGGGCAUGGACACAAGAAGCACAAGCAUAAGCUUGGUCACAAACAUGCCCAUUGUCACAAGAAAGGGAAAAAUAGUCACGAGUCCUCCAGCAGCUCCUGCAGCAGCGACUCUGAUUAGAUGUAGAAGACUUGUAACAUCUUCUUCACAUGAAAUCCCUGGCUUUAAAUGCAAUUUUAAAUGUUAUGGUUUUCUUACCAGAAUCAGAAUUUAAAUAAAUAAAAGCACUCGGACAAAUUACCAAUAUGUUUU
rnacentral:lncRNA from 1 species